UGAAGAGUUUGAUCCUAGCUCAGGAUUAACGCUGGCGGUGUGCAUAACACAUGCAAGUCGAGCGCCCAGCAUUUUGCUCACAAAUUUCUACUGCGUCAGGAAUGAAAAAUUCACUCGCCGUAUUGCAUAUACGGCUCAUUGGAAUUUUCCAUCCCUUCCUUGUAAAAAUUUGCGGUCAAAAUGCUGGGAGCGGCAGACGGGUGAGUAACACGUUGGUAUCUGCCCCAUAGUCAGGGAUAAGCCUCAGAAAUGAGGUCUAAUACCGGAUAGUCCCGCAAGGGUAAAGAUUUAUCGCUAUGGGAGGAGCCUGCGGCUUAUCAGCUUGUUGGUGGGGUAACUGCCUACCAAGGCUAUGACGAGUAGCUGGUCUGAGAGGAUGAUCAGCCACAAUGGAACUGAGACACGGUCCAUACUCCUACGGGAGGCAGCAGUGAGGAAUCUUCCGCAAUGGGCGAAAGCCUGACGGAGCAACACCGCGUGGGGGAUGACGGUCGUAAGAUUGUAAACUCCUUUUCUGAGGGAAGAAUUCUGACGGUACCUCAGGAAUAAGCAACGGCUAACUCCGUGCCAGCAGCCGC
rnacentral:rRNA from 1 species